rfam:Myotis brandtii contig233745, whole genome shotgun sequence.
GGUGGUUCUCUAGUGAUGCACCCCAGAAUCGGGCUCUCUCCUCUCUGGUUCCAGGGUGCAUCACCCGAGAACCGCU